CUCAAACUAUAAAGUUGCUCUAGGACUACAUAAAAUCCACUUACUUCUACUCAAAACUAUAAGCUUUCACUCAGAAAUUGCAUAAAAUAUACAAAGUUAAAUUGUUUCCGCUGAAACUACACAAUUUCGCCACAAACUGCAUAUAAUCUAUAAAAUCCCACUAUUUUCACUGAAAAAUCCAAUUACUACAAAAUUCAACAUUAUUUUUGUCUGAAACUACAAAAUUAAUUUCACUAGAAGCUGCAUAUAUAAUCUACAAAAUAAAACUACUAUCAAUCAAAUUCAACUGAUUUUCUUACUAAUAAAUUAGGUUUUAAAUGGAUCGAAAUGUGUACCGUCAUGUUUGAGGGUUUUAGAGUGAACGUGAGCGCUAUGGAUCAAUUCAUUCUUUACCAAUUGGGCCACUCAUCGCAGACCCUUUCAUUUCUCCCUUGGGGUUCACAAUCACACCAGCAUUAUCUUUAAAGUACAUGAAGACACCGUCCUUUCGGCGCCAUGGCUUGCGCUGACGAACAAUG
rnacentral:lncRNA from 1 species